UCGGUGCGAUAGUGAGUUUGCAUUGCUAGCACCCAUGGUGGGGGAAGCCGGUCGAAGUCCGGCGCUGUCCCGCAACGGUAGGCCGUCAUCCGACGGUGAGCCCGAUCGCCCGCAUGGGGGCUUGUGACUCCG
rnacentral:ncRNA from 12 species